GUCAUGGCAAAAUCCAUGACCCGGAUUGGAACCCGGAACUAUCCAGUAGGCGUGCAAGCGCCUCUAUUUCGUACGGCGCUUUUUUU
rfam:Delta proteobacterium NaphS2 ctg_1101087565940, whole genome shotgun sequence.